GGGAAUGUAGCUCAAUGGUAGAGCACUUGCCUAGCAUGUGGGUGGCCCUGGGUUCCAUCUCUAGCAUCACCA
rfam:Ictidomys tridecemlineatus contig035512, whole genome shotgun sequence.